rnacentral:rRNA from 1 species
UGGGGAAUCUUGCACAAUGGAGGAAACUCUGAUGCAGCGACGCCGCGUGAGCGAAGAAGCCUUUCGGGGUGUAAAGCUCUUACGCCAGGGACGAUAAUGACGGUACCUGGAGAAGCAGCUGCGGCUAACUACGUGCCAGCAGCCGCGGUAAUACGUAGGCAGCAAGCGUUGUUCGGAAUUACUGGGCGUAAAGGUUGCGUAGGCGGCGCUCUAAGUUUGGUGUGAAAUCUCCCGGCUUAACUGGGAGGGUGCACUGAAAACUGGGGCGCUCGAGUAUGGGAGAGGAAAGCGGAAUUCCUGGUGUAGCGGUGAAAUGCGUAGAGAUCAGGAGGAACACCUGCGGUGCAGACGGCUUUCUGGACCAUCACUGACGCUGAGGCACGAAAGCGUGGGUAGCAAACA